rnacentral:rRNA from 1 species
AGAGUUUGAUCCUGGCUCAGGAUGAACGCUGGCGGUAUGCUUAACACAUGCAAGUCGAACGAACUCUUCGGAGUUAGUGGCGGACGGGUGAGUAACGCGUGAGAAUCUAGCUUCAGGUCGGGGACAACCACUGGAAACGGUGGCUAAUACCGGAUGUGCCGAAAGGUGAAAGAUUUAUUGCCUGAAGAUGAGCUCGCGUCUGAUUAGCUAGUUGGUAGUGUAAGAGACUACCAAGGCGACGAUCAGUAGCUGGUCUGAGAGGAUGAUCAGCCACACUGGGACUGAGACACGGCCCAGACUCCUACGGGAGGCAGCAGUGGGGAAUUUUCCGCAAUGGGCGAAAGCCUGACGGAGCAAUACCGCGUGAGGGAGGGAGGCUCUUGGGUUGUAAACCUCUUUUCUCAAGGAAGAACACAAUGACGGUACUUGAGGAAUAAGCAUCGGCUAACUCCGUGCCAGCAGCCGCGGUAAUACGGAGGAUGCAAGCGUUAUCCGGAAUGAUUGGGCGUAAAGCGUCCGCAGGUGGCAAUGUAAGUCUGCUGUUAAAGAGCAAAGCUCAACUUUGUAAGAGCAGUGGAAACUACAUAGCUAGAGUACGUUCGGGGUAGAGGGAAUUCCUGGUGUAGCGGUGAAAUGCGUAGAUAUCAGGAAGAACACCGGUGGCGAAAGCGCUCUACUAGGCCUGUACUGACACUGAGGGACGAAAGCUAGGGGAGCGAAUGGGAUUAGAUACCCCAGUAGUCCUAGCCGUAAACGAUGGAUACUAGGCGUGGCUUGUAUCGACCCGAGCCGUGCCGUAGCUAACGCGUUAAGUAUCCCGCCUGGGGAGUACGCACGCAAGUGUGAAACUCAAAGGAAUUGACGGGGGCCCGCACAAGCGGUGGAGUAUGUGGUUUAAUUCGAUGCAACGCGAAGAACCUUACCAAGACUUGACAUGUUGCGAAUCCUUGUGAAAGCAGGGAGUGCCUUCGGGAGCGCAAACACAGGUGGUGCAUGGCUGUCGUCAGCUCGUGUCGUGAGAUGUUGGGUUAAGUCCCGCAACGAGCGCAACCCUCGUUUUUAGUUGCCAGCAUUAAGUUGGGCACUCUAGAGAGACUGCCGGUGACAAACCGGAGGAAGGUGGGGAUGACGUCAAGUCAGCAUGCCCCUUACGUCUUGGGCUACACACGUACUACAAUGCUACGGACAAAGGGCAGCAAGCUAGUGAUAGCAAGCAAAUCUCAGAAACCGUGGCUCAGUUCAGAUCGAAGGCUGCAACUCGCCUUCGUGAAGGAGGAAUCGCUAGUAAUUGCAGGUCAGCAUACUGCAGUGAAUUCGUUCCCGGGCCUUGUACACACCGCCCGUCACACCAUGGAAGCUGGCAACGCCCGAAGUCAUUACUCCAACUGUUCGCAGAGGAGGAUGCCUAAGGCAGUGCUGGUGACUGGGGUGAAGUCGUAACAAGGUAGCCGUACCGGAAGGUGUGGCUGGAUCACCUCCUUUUAGGGAGACCGAAUCCACUCAAAUAUCGAAAACAUUCAGUGAAUAGAUAAUGAGAUGGUCAUUCCUAGGUCGGUCGAGAUUGGUUAAAGCUUUCAAAGUAUUUAAGUUCGGUUUAAGAACGAUUGAAACUAGAGGAAAUAGUAAUUCAGCAACAUGGCGAGAGCCAGACUGCUGGGUAUUAUCCAGCCAGAACCUUGAAAACUGCAUAGUAACGCGAAUAUAGCAGGCAGAUACAGACAUUCAAGAAGUGAAUGUGUUUGCAGUGGUGAACACCAAUUGUUUAGUGGUCAAGCUAAUAAGGGCUGAUGGUGGAUACCUAGGCACACAGAGGCGAAG